rnacentral:rRNA from 1 species
AAUAGAUACCCAGGUAGUCCAUGCCGUAAACGUUGGGCGCUAGAUGUGGGGACCAUUCCACGGUUUCCGUGUCGCAGCUAACGCAUUAAGCGCCCCGCCUGGGGAGUACGGCCGCAAGGCUAAAACUCAAAGGAAUUGACGGGGGCCCGCACAAGCGGCGGAGCAUGCGGAUUAAUUCGAUGCAACGCGAAGAACCUUACCAAGGCUUGACAUAUACGAGAACGCUCUAGAAAUAGAGAACUCUUUGGACACUCGUAUACAGGUGGUGCAUGGUUGUCGUCAGCUCGUGUCGUGAGAUGUUGGGUUAAGUCCCGCAACGAGCGCAACCCUCGUUCUAUGUUGCCAGCGGUUCGGCCGGGAACUCAUAGGAGACUGCCGGGGUCAACGUCGGAGGAAGGUGGGGAUGACGUCAAAUCAUCAUGCCCCUUAUGUCUUGGGCUUCACGCAUGCUACAAUGGCCGGUACAAAGGGCUGCAAUACCGGUAAGGUGGAGCGAAUCCCAAAAAGCCGGUCUCAGUUCGGAUUGAGGU